rnacentral:rRNA from 1 species
CCCCAGUAACGGCGAGUGAAGCGGCAACAGCUCAAAUUUGAAAUCUGGCUCUCGGGCCCGAGUUGUAAUUUGUAGAGGAUGCUUUUGGUGAGGUGCCUUCCGAGUUCCCUGGAACGGGACGCCAUAGAGGGUGAGAGCCCCGUCUGGUUGGACGCCGAACCUCUGUAAAGCUCCUUCGACGAGUCGAGUAGUUUGGGAAUGCUGCUCUAAAUGGGAGGUAUAUGUCUUCUAAAGCUAAAUACCGGCCAGAGACCGAUAGCGCACAAGUAGAGUGAUCGAAAGAUGAAAAGAACUUUGAAAAGAGAGUUAAACAGUACGUGAAAUUGUUGAAAGGGAAGCGCUUGUGACCAGACUUGGGCUUGGUUGAUCAUCCGGGGUUCUCCCCGGUGCACUCUUCCGGCCCAGGCCAGCAUCAGUUCGCCCUGGGGGACAAAGGCUUCGGGAACGUGGCUCUCUCCGGGGAGUGUUAUAGCCCGUUGCGUAAUACCCUGUGGCGGACUGAGGUUCGCGCAUUCGCAAGGAUGCUGGCGUAAUGGUCAUCAGUGACCCGUCUUGAAACACGGACCAAGGAGUCGUCUUCGUAUGCGAGUGUUCGGGUGUCAAACCCCUACGCGAAAUGAAAGUGAACGCAGGUGAGAGCUUCGGCGCAUCAUCGACCGAUCCUGAUGUUAUCGGAUGGAUUUUGAGUAAGAGCAUACGGGGCCGGACCCGAAAGAAGGUGAACUAUGCCUGUGUAGGGUGAAGCCAGAGGAAACUCUGGUGGAGGCUCGCAGCGGGUUCUGACGUGCAAAUCGAUCGUCAAACAUGGGCAUGGGGGCGAAAGACUAAUCGAACCUUCUAGUAGCUGGUUUCCGCCGAAGUUUCCCUCAGGAUAGCAGUGUUGAACUCAGUUUUAUGAGGUAAAGCGAAUGAUUAGGGACUCGGGGGCGCUAUUUAGCCUUCAUCCAUUCUCAAACUUUAAAUAUGUAAGAAGCCCUUGUUGCUUAAUUGAACGUGGGCAUUCGAAUGAAUCAACACUAGUGGGCCAUUUUUGGUAAGCAGAACUGGCGAUGCGGGAUGAACCGAACGCGAGGUUAAGGUGCCAGAGUAGACGCUCAUCAGACACCACAAAAGGUGUUAGUACAUCUUGACAGCAGGACGGUGGCCAUGGAAGUCGGAAUCCGCUAAGGACUGUGUAACAACUCACCUGCCGAAUGUACUAGCCCUGAAAAUGGAUGGCGCUCAAGCGUCUCACCCAUACCUCGCCCUCAGGGUAGAAACGAUGCCCUGAGGAGUAGGCGGACGUGGAGGUC